GAUGAACGUUGGCGGCGUGCCUAAUACAUGCAAGUCGAACGAAGACUGUAGUAAUACUGUCUUAGUGGCGAACGGGUGAGUAACGCGUGGGUGACCUGCCCCGAAGUGUGGGAUAACAGUUCGAAAGGAUUGCUAAUACUGCAUAAUAUCCAAGAGAUUAGACGCUUUUGGAUUAAAGGAGUAAUUCGCUUCGGGAGGGGCCCGCGUCCCAUCAGCUAGUUGGUAAGGUAAUGGCUUACCAAGGCGAUGACGGGUAGGGGACCUGAGAGGGUGGCCCCCCAAAUGGAACUGAAACACGGUCCAUACACCUACGGGUGGCAGCAGUAGGGAAUAUUAGAAAUGGACGAAAGUCUGAUCUAGCAACACCGCGUGUGCGAAGAAGGGCCCUUCGGGUCGUAAAAGCACUUUUUGGAAGGAAUAGGAAGAAUGUACUUCCAGAAUAAGUCUCGGCUAACUACGUGCCAGCAGCCGCGGUAAUCUAGUCUA
rnacentral:rRNA from 1 species